UGCUUCCUCUUCACUCUACUUUUCAGUAUAUACAAUUCAUAAUUUGUCCCAUUUUCUUGAACCCAACGAUCAGUAAACAAAAAUUGAAAAUCAACACCACCAUUGCCGCCUCUUUCUCCCCUUCGUUGCACCCUUCGCUGCAACCACCCUCUGCCACCAGCGCCUGCCACCUUUAACACCACCCAGAACCACCCCCAACCACCGUCAACCACCCUCGCCUUUCCCUGCUCGCAACUUCGCACACCCCUGCCCCCCCCCCUUUCGUCCCUUUGCUGCACCACCCAACCUUGCAGCCAACACAACCGGCCAUCGCACCACCUUCUAAAUUCAUCUCCGUUCCAAUUUCCCGACGAACGGCUGUUACCGCCGCCCAGAACAGCCCGGAAAAUACCCCCUCCCCUGUUUUUCCCCUGUAUUGCGCGACUACCCUUUUCUCUUUUCUUGCGGUUCCGUCGCCGAAAAGCCAACCACCAUCACCGGCGCACCUUCGCGCCGCCGUGCCGCCCAGGAUUCAGCCACCUCCGUCCCUUCUUCCUUCUUCCUUUCCUCUCUCCUCUGUCGUGCCGUGGCUCUGCCCUCCCCCUGCUUUCCUGUUCUUCGUACCCAACUUCAAAAAAAAGGGGGAGAGACAAGUUCCAGUAAUUGGAACUUUGGUAUUUUAUUUCUCAAAUUAAGCCCAACCCUUUGUUUUGGCCCAAUAUCCCAAAAAAUCGAACUCGGAGCUCAGGACGAACGAACCAAGGAAAAAGGCCUGUCAAAUCGUGGAAUUGAGGUACUGCUGGGGACCACGGAAACGAGUAGUGGCGAGGAUUUCACCAUUACCAUGUUCACCUAGGUCAAUGUCAAGUUGUAACAAGUUUAAGUAAAGAUUCUUGAUUAAGUUACGUCCUUUUAUUAAGGAAUUAAAAAGGAUUAUUAUGUUAAUUUUGGAGUUUAAUAACUUAUGAUUGAUAGUUGCCUUGUAAUUCUCAAGAGAGAGUUACGGCAGGUAAUGUCCCGACCAAAUUAGGUUAAUUCCGCUGCUAAUUAUGAUUAAAUAAUUGAAUUAGAGGUCGGGGUGUUACACUGUAUCAACCUUAGCUCAAACUUGUAAAAUUGCUGUUCAAGUUGAACUGCUUUCUGAUCACUUUGAACAGCUACUGUCCUAACUCCUAGCCUUUUGU